UUGGUUUCGUGGGGCGAGGGGGCGGGCGAGGCGGCAGCGUCCGUGCUGGGGAGGGACGGACGGACAGACCGACAGCCGGGACACGCCUUUGGUUUGUUAGUGUAGGGCCCCAGGUGCCACAGGGAUAGGCAGCUUCUUCAGACCCCUGACCUGCGCUCAGCACCCCUCCCUGCAGAAGCCCUGCGGCGGCAACCCCGAGAGGUUCUACCCUAGCCAGUGUCUGCAGAGGAAAUGCUGCCACGCCAACGGCACCUGCUACCACCACACCACCGAUGCGCCGCGCCAGCGCCGAAACGCCGGGAUCCUGGGGGGGAUCUGUGUGGGGGCCGCCGGGCUGUUCCUUUGCGUCUGCGUCACCUGCAGGCUGAAGGGCAGCCGGGCGGCAGGGAAGGAGGCGGGGGAACCGAAGUCAAAGUCGGAUGCAGAGUUGGCUGAUUAUCUGACGAAGCUGCUGGAGGAAAGUGACCAGGAGGAAGAGGAGAGGAUGGAGCCUAGGGAGGAAGAGCCAAAAGAGGGGGGGGAGUAGGGACAGGCUGGGGGCAGCUGCCCCACCCCCACCUGGACUGCUGCACCCCUCACACAAUAAAGGGUCAAUUUUUUCCAAAUCAGCUGGGGGAGGGGCACAUGCUGCCCCCAUGUUCCCUUCCCCCAUCCGGAUCCCUGAAAACACAGCCCGCAUGCUCCACCUCAGAAUGGGGGCAGAGAAUGGGACAGGGGGCCUUUCCCCUCUAGAGGGUGCCGGCUCCCAUCGGCCCCAGGAGACUGGCUGGCUGGCUCAGGGCAGAGGUAUGGGACACAGGGCCUUUCCCCUAUAACCACUAGCCCUCACUCCCCUCCCAGAGCUGGGGAGAGAACCCAGGAGUCCUGGCUCCCAGCCCCACGCUCUAACCCCUAGACCCCACUCCGCAGUGCGUGACGCAGGACAAGGAAGCACGGAACAGAGGG